rnacentral:rRNA from 1 species
CCUACGGGUGGCAGCAGUGAGGAAUAUUGGUCAAUGGCCGAGAGGCUGAACCAGCCAAGUCGCGUGAGGGAAGACGGCCCUAUGGGUUGUAAACUUCUUUUGUCGGGGAGUAAAGCGAGUCACGUGUGCCUCAUUGCGUGUACCUGAUGAAUAAGCAUCGGCUAACUCCGUGCCAGCAGCCGCGGUAAUACGGAGGAUGCGAGCGUUAUCCGGAUUUAUUGGGUUUAAAGGGUGCGUAGGCGGAGGUGCAAGUCAGCGGUAAAAUUUCGGGGCUCAACCCCGUACUGCCGUUGAAACUGCAUCCCUUGAGUGCGCGAGAAGUAGGCGGAAUGCGUGGUGUAGCGGUGAAAUGCAUAGAUAUCACGCAGAACUCCGAUUGCGAAGGCAGCAUACCAGCGCGCAACUGACGCUCAUGCACGAAAGCGUGGGUAUCGAACAGGAUUAGAUACCCGGGUAGUC